ACACACACACACACACACACACACACACGCAAACAGACACACACAAACACACACACGCACACAGUCCACUUGGUUGACAUCUUUAUUGUAGGAGCCAAAAUGCUUAUGCUUAAAUGUUUUAUUGAUCCUUGCAAGAAACCCCAACACAACACAGCAAAUUUGUAUUUGAGUGUAAUUCCGACACUGAACAGCAGGUAGAGUCUUGACUUAUGCUGUGCAUAAAGCCAAGGCUCCAGGUAAUUGGGUUCAGGUGUGUUUGGAAGCAUAUAGUUUUUUUGACCGUGUCGGGUUGACUAUGAUGUAACAGUUUAUGCUUUAUGAUGUAUUGGACAGAAUGGGACAUUUAUGUGCAUAAGUCAACCCCGAUCAUGAACUAUGAUAAACAGAUUGAUGACUCUAUUGGAAAAGAGUAUCAGACAUUUGUUUGUUCCAGAUGCACGCGUCCGGACAUAGUUCCACAACUCACAUCUCAGUGAAGACUGCUUUGGACAAUAUAAGGUUUAGCGUCACACUCCAGACGUCCGUAUGAUCUUCUCCUCAUGUUGUUCAUGUUUGCUGCAGAAUAUCAGAGCCUUUAACUCUUUCUUAUUCCAUGAUGGCACCAUAACAAAGGUCGGCUGUCAUUACACCCGUACUCACACUUUGCAUCCACACUGGUGUUAAAUGGUGUUACAGCUGUCACACCUUUCACACCUGUUACAGCUGUCACACCUUUCACACCUGUUACAGCUGUCACACCUUUCACACUUCUUACAGCUGUCACACCUUUGUUGGGCCUCAGCCAUGUGUGCUGGACAAAGGACUCAGGCCUGUAUCACAGUUCUCAAGCCUGACUAGAGUUGUUUUGGAGGGAACUAUACUUAGCCCAGCACCCCCCAACAGCAACUAACAAAUAGGUGUGAAAAGUAGGGAUGUGGGGGGUGUCUGGAUUCUCUAUCCUCAUUGGAGGAGGCCUGAGGUUAACUCACAGGCAGUUCCAGUCUUUAAAAUCAAUCGCCAGGCAUUGCUCAAUUUUGGGCGCAAUCAGAUGCUAUCAGGUUUGAGCAAAAAGAAGAGUUUCCUUCCUUUAAUUUUUCGUAAGACGUCAUUGAACGCAACUGGUAAGGAGCGCUGAAGAAAGCCCACUGAUCCCUGAAUCCACAAGGACACAUAAAGAACUCGGCUCCUGCAACCAGAAGACCCUAUAGAGCAGUGCUCUGGUCGAAGAUCUGAACCCUGCUACCCUCCUCCUACAUCAGCCACGAAGGAAACCUGCCUGAAUCUGAUGAUUCAACAUUCAACAGAGUGAAGAUCCAACCAACUUUGCAAUGAUCACCAGGAGUUACCCCAAGUAAGAGCUUUGGUCUGGGCAGAAAUAGUUUCAGAAAUAGUUAUGUUUCUUUUAUAACCACUGAUAAUUGUGCAUCAUUGUUGACGACACGUCACAUUCUGUUUAUUAUCUGUUGUAAGCUGCUGCAUUUGUUUUAUUGUGACGAACCGCCGUGUUCGCCAAUGUGUGUAAUGCUACGCUAGUUUACCUUCAGUCAACGGCUUUCACAAUCAGAAAGACCAGUGUACCCGCCGUUGAAUCAAAGUCCGGCCACUGGCUUUAUGGUGUUUAAGUAACAGUUACUGAACUCAGCUCAGAGAGCUCAAACUAUUUCAAAAGGUAGCCACACGGCUUCCUUUGUUGUCCACCAUUUUGUCCACAUGUGACGAAGCCACAUGGUGCAUUGUCUCUCUCCACCAUCUUGUUUUCUCUCUCUCUCUCUCUCUCUCUCUCCCUCAUCCACACACACACAUAACUACACUUUUACACCUCAUUCACAAGUUUUGCUUGAUAAUGUUUGUUUGCUUAGAUUAGUUUAUAAUAGUUAUUUGUUGGACUGAGUUUCAUUGAUUUUGGAUUGAUGUUGCUUUGUUUAAAUAAAUUCUGUUAUAAUUUAA